AGUUUGAUCCUGGCUCAGAUUGAACGCUGGCGGAAUGCUUUACACAUGCAAGUCGAACGGCAGCACGAGGGCAACCUUGGUGGCGAGUGGCGAACGGGUGAGUAAUACAUCGGAACGUGCCCAGUCGUGGGGGAUAACGUAGCGAAAGCUACGCUAAUACCGCAUACGAUCUAUGGAUGAAAGCGGGGGACCGUAAGGCCUCGCGCGAUUGGAGCGGCCGAUGGCAGAUUAGGUAGUUGGUGGGGUAAAGGCUCACCAAGCCUGCGAUCUGUAGCUGGUCUGAGAGGACGACCAGCCACACUGGAACUGAGACACGGUCCAGACUCCUACGGGAGGCAGCAGUGGGGAAUUUUGGACAAUGGGCGCAAGCCUGAUCCAGCCAUUCCGCGUGCAGGGUGAAGGCCUUCGGGUUGUAAACUGCUUUUGUACGGAACGAAAAGGUUUUCCUUAAUACGGAGAGCUCAUGACGGUACCGUAAGAAUAAGCACCGGCUAACUACGUG
rnacentral:rRNA from 1 species